rnacentral:rRNA from 1 species
UACGUAGGGGGCUAGCGUUGUCCGGAUUUAUUGGGCGUAAAGAGCGUGUAGGCGGCCAGGUAGGUCCGUUGUGAAAACUCGAGGCUCAACCUCGAGACGUCGGCGGAAACCCUCUGGCUAGAGUCCGGAAGAGGAGAGUGGAAUUCCUGGUGUAGCGGUGAAAUGCGCAGAUAUCAGGAGGAACACCAAUGGCGAAGGCAGCUCGCUGGGACGUGACUGACGCUGAGACGCGAAAGCGUGGGGAGCAAACAGG